rnacentral:rRNA from 1 species
UACAGAGGGUGCGAGCGUUAAUCGGAAUUACUGGGCGUAAAGCGCACGUAGGUGGCGACGUAAGUCGGGUGUGAAAGCCCCGGGCUCAACCUGGGAAUUGCAUUCGAGACUGCAUUGCUGGAGUACGGAAGAGGAGGGCGGAAUUCCAGGUGUAGCGGUGAAAUGCGUAGAUAUCUGGAGGAACACCCGUGGCGAAAGCGGCUCUCUGGAACGGUACUGACGCUGAGACGCGAAAGCGUGGGGAGCGAACAGG